GAUCCUGGCUCAGGAUGAACGCUGGCGGCGUGCUUAACACAUGCAAGUCGAGCGAAGCACUUAUGAAGAUUCUUCGGAUGAUUCAUUUGUGACUGAGCGGCGGACGGGUGAGUAACGCGUGAGUAACCUGCCUCAUACAGGGGAAUAACAGUUAGAAAUGACUGCUAAUGCCGCAUAAGCGCACAGGACCACAUGGUCUGGUGUGAAAAACUCCGGUGGU
rnacentral:rRNA from 1 species